AUGAACGCUGGCGGCGUGGAUAAGGCAUGCAAGUCGGACGAUUUCCUUUUUUGAAGAAGAUGCGAUUACAUCAAGUCAACUGAUAUUUUGGAGAUAGUGGCGAACGAGCUAGUAACACCUUGGUACGUACCCAAAAGUUUGGUAUAGCUCGCCGAAAGGCGGGGUAAUCCCAAAUAAUCCCUCUACCUAUCGGAUAGAAGGGUAAAGUCGCAAGACGCUUUUGGAGCGGCCUAGGACCGAUCAGUUAGUUGGUGAGGUAAUGGCUCACCAAGACGAUGACCGGUAGGGG
rnacentral:rRNA from 1 species